AGUCUAUUAGUCAAACGGUAAAGACGACCCGAUAUAAAGGGAAUAGUUAGCAGGUUCGACUCCUGCAUAGACUCCCA
rnacentral:tRNA from 1 species